UAUAUAUAUAUAUAUAUAUGCAUAUAUCUGUGCAGUCAGACUCUCUAGACUCAUCGGUAUUCAUGUGCACAGUGCAUAAUCUGCGCUGCCUUGCUUCUCUCCUCCUCUGCGGUUAAUGCGCACUAAAUAAGGCAAACAGCUUUUCCUCAAUACUUUAGGCCACACAAUUUGCGCUUGAUAUGGCCGCGGAGCUAUUCUUUUGUUCGUCAUAGAAAUUCUCAACUUUUAAACGGGAAUAUACAACUAUAUAUACAUUUGUAUGUAUGUGAAACUAACAAACAUUCCAUGCCGAUAGCUGAUAUCAAAACCGUUUGAAAUACAAGCGUGAGGAGGAGUCAUUUCCUUACUUUGCUCAAUUAAACAAAGUAAAUUAACAAAAACCAAAUAAUAAAUAAAAUCAUAUAGAAAUUAUUUAGCUCAAAGCGAUUAUAUGGUUGUGAGCCGUAAUGAAAAUCAAAACACGUGCCAUGCAUCCGAUGAGCAAAGGCGAAGGCGGUGAAGACAGGCCCAAGACUUACGAAGGCCUAUGAAUUAUGCAGCUGGCGUUUGGCACACCAUAAAAUUGAUAAAACAUUCAUACAUAUAUAUUCCAUAUACAUAUAUUGUAAGUAAAUAAAAUAGCAAUGCAAUUGUUUUCUUUCUGCUUGUUCAAUAAACUCAUUCGACAGGCAUCCAGAUGCAACUGACCACCCAGCAUCAUUUCCCAGACAGAUAAACCAAAAGCAGGCUACGAUAUAUAUUUUUGUGGGUUUACCCGCAUUGUCAACGAGCACGGAUGCACACAAAACCAAAUGGAAUGUAGUUUUAUUGGAUGCUGUGUAGGAUGGGGAGGAGCAGGAGGGGUCGCACUGACCAGCAAAGCGGAAAUGUUAAUUAGAUUUGCGCGACGCAGGCCGAGUUCAAUGCAUUGAUCUGUAGCGCAGGCUGGCUGCUAUGACACGCACUAAAGUUUAGUCACUGCAAAGCCCGAAGCAAGUUUAUGAUUCAGUGCAGUCGCCGUCGUCGUCGACGCUGACGUCGACGCUGCGAACGCAUAAACAAAACAUAAACAAGAGACGGAGUUUUAGUCAUCGUUAAAAUAUCCAAAGAUACACAACUACGCAAGCAAAUAGGGAGCAAAGAUACCGAAGGGGGACGCAUGGCUGAUAAAAACAAGAAAUUUGUAUGAUACACACACACACAUAUGUACAUAAAUAUUUCAGUUUUACUUCUUAUCUUAUCUAUUGGUGGCGCGACCCCAAUUGCAGCUGCUGCCACUACUUGGUACAAAAACUAAGCUAAUAUUGUUUAACUUGAAUUUCUGUUGAAAUUGAAUUAUUAAUAAAUGGGGAAUAUCAAAAUAUGUAGUCGCAGCAGCUGCUAUGCAACACUGGCAAUCACAGCAACAGCAAGCCAUGGAGCACCAAACACCAUAAUAAACUCACUACAGGAGUAACAACAGCAGCGAUGCAACACUGGCAUUAACAGUUACAAAAACAAGGGCUAUUGAAAUGCAAAAUAAAUUCAACUUUGCAAACUUUAA